GCAUGCUUAACACAUGCAAGUCGGACGGGAAACACGGGAAAUGGUGUUUCCAGUGGCGAACGGGUGAGUAACACGUAAGAACCUGCCCUUGGGAGGGGAACAACAGCUGGAAACGGCUACUAGUACCCCGCAGGCUGAGAAGCAAAAGGAGGAAUCCGCCCGAGGAGGGGCUCGCGUCUGAUUAGCUAGUUGGUGAGGCAAUAGCUUACCAAGGCGAUGAUCAGUAGCUGGUCCGAGAGGAUGAUCAGCCACACUGGGACUGAGACACAGCCCAGACUCCUACGGGAGGCAGCAAGAUCGGAAGACCGA